AGCGAACGUUUGCGGCGGGCCUAACACAUGCAAGUCGAACGCACUAGCAAUAGUGAGUGGCGCACGGGUGCGUAACACGUGGGUAAUCAACCCUUCAGCCUGGGAUAACGACUCGAAAGGGUCGCUAAUACCGGAUACGGCGCGAGAGGCUUCGGCUUCUCACGAGAAAGCCACGCAAGGGGCACUGAAGGACGAGCCUGCGGCCCAUCAGCUAGUUGGUGAGGUAAGAGCUCACCAAGGCUAAGACGGGUAGCUGGUCUGAGAGGAUGAUCAGCCACACUGGAACUGAGACACGGUCCAGACUCCUACGGGAGGCAGCAGUGGGGAAUAUUGCGCAAUGGGCGAAAGCCUGACGCAGCCACGCCGCGUGAGCGAUGAAGGCCUCGGUCGUAAGACUCUGUGGGAGGAGACGAAGAAGACC
rnacentral:rRNA from 1 species